GAGGCUGUCAGUGGGCAGUGAUCCCUUCCACUUCCUGUGCGAGAGGCUGUUAGUGAGCAGUGAUCCCUUCCACUUCCUGUGUGAGAGGCUGUUAGUGAGCAGUGAUCCCUUUCACUUCCUGUGUGGGAGGCUGUUAGUGAGCAGUGAUCCCUUUCACUUCCUGUGUGAGAGGCUGUUAGUGGGCAGUGAUCCCUUCCAUUUUCUAUGUGAGAGGCUGUUAGUGG